rnacentral:rRNA from 1 species
GAUGAACGCUAGCUACAGGCUUAACACAUGCAAGUCGAGGGGAAACGGCAUUAAGUGCUUGCGCUUUUUGGACGUCGACCGGCGCACGGGUGAGUAACGCGUAUCCAACCUUCCCAUGACUAAGGGAUAACCUGCCGAAAGGCAGACUAAUACCUUAUGGUCUUCACUGACGGCAUCAGAUGUGAAGUAAAGAUUUAUCGGUUAUGGAUGGGGAUGCGUCUGAUUAGCUUGUUGGCGGGGUAACGGCCCACCAAGGCAACGAUCAGUAGGGGUUCUGAGAGGAAGGUCCCCCACAUUGGAACUGAGACACGGUCCAAACUCCUACGGGAGGCAGCAGUGAGGAAUAUUGGUCAAUGGGCGAGAGCCUGAACCAGCCAAGUAGCGUGCAGGAAGACGGCCCUAUGGGUUGUAAACUGCUUUUGUAUGGGGAUAAAGUCAAUCACGUGUGAUUGUUUGCAGGUACCAUACGAAUAAGGACCGGCUAAUUCCGUGCCAGCAGCCGCGGUAAUACGGAAGGUCCGGGCGUUAUCCGGAUUUAUUGGGUUUAAAGGGAGCGUAGGCUGGAGAUUAAGUGUGUUGUGAAAUGUAGACGCUCAACGUCUGACUUGCAGCGCAUACUGGUUUCCUUGAGUACGCACAACGUUGGCGGAAUUCGUCGUGUAGCGGUGAAAUGCUUAGAUAUGACGAAGAACUCCGAUUGCGAAGGCAGCUGACGGGAGCGCAACUGACGCUGAAGCUCGAAGGUGCGGGUAUCGAACAGGAUUAGAUACCCUGGUAGUCCGCACAGUAAACGAUGGAUGCCCGCUGUUGGUACCUGGUAUCAGCGGCUAAGCGAAAGCAUUAAGCAUCCC